UGAUGAAAGCCUUAGGGUUGUAAAGCUCUUUCACCGAUGAAGAUAAUGACGGUAGUCGGAGAAGAAGCCCCGGCUAACUUCGUGCCAGCAGCCGCGGUAAUACGAAGGGGGCUAGCGUUGUUCGGAAUYACUGGGCGUAAAGCGCACGUAGGCGGAUAUUUAAGUCAGGGGUGAAAUCCCAGAGCUCAACUCUGGAACUGCCUUCUGAUACUGGGUAUCUUGAGUAUGGAAGAGGUAAGUGGAAUUGCGAGUGUAGAGGUGAAAUUCGUAGAUAUUCGCAGGAACACCAGUGGCGAAGGCGGCUUACUGGUCCAUUACUGACGCUGAGGUGCGAAAGCGUGGGGAGCAAACAGGAUUAGAUACCCU
rnacentral:rRNA from 1 species